rnacentral:rRNA from 1 species
AUUGAACGCUGGCGGCAUGCUUUACACAUGCAAGUCGAACGGCAGCGCGGGCUUCGGCCUGGCGGCGAGUGGCGAACGGGUGAGUAAUACAUCGGAACGUGCGUAGUAGUGGGGGAUAGCUCGGUGAAAGCCGGAUUAAUACCGCAUACGAACUGCGGGUGCAAGAGGAGGAUACUCGGACCCCUCGCUCUUGGAGCGGCCGAUGGCAGAUUAGCUAGUUGGUGGGGUAAAGGCAUACCAAGGCGAAGAUAUGUAGCUGGUCUGAGAGGACGACCAGCCACACGGGGAGUGAGACACGGCCCAGACUCCGACAGGAGGCAGCAGUGGGGAAUUUUGGACAAUGGGCGAAUGCCUGAUCCAGCAAUGCCGCGUGUGUGAUGAAGGCCUGCGGGUUGUAAAGCACUUUUGGCGGGAACGAAAAGGACUGUGCCAAGACCACGGUUCGAUGACGGUACCCGCAGAAUAAGCACCGGCUAACUACGUG